rnacentral:rRNA from 1 species
AGCAGUCGCCACGGUAAUACGAGGGGGGCAAGCGUUGUUCGGAAUUAUUGGGCGUAAAGGGUGCGUAGGCGGCCCCGCAAGUCUCAUGUGAAAUCUUCAGGCUCAACUUGAAGUCUGCAUGGGAAACUGCGGGGCUGGAGUAUGGGAGAGGUGAGUGGAAUUCCUGGUGUAGCGGUGAAAUGCGUAGAUAUCAGGAGGAACACCUGUGGCGAAAGCGGCUCACUGGACCAUAACUGACGCUGAGGCACGAAAGCUAGGGGAGCAAACAGGAUUAGAUACCCCCGUAGUCCCUGUCUCUUAUAC